AGAAUGCCGGUAUGAGUAGCGAAAGACAGGUGAGAAUCCUGUCCACCGAAUGACUAAGGUUUCCUGGGGAAGGCUCGUCCUCCCAGGGUUAGUCGGGACCUAAGCUGAGGCCGAGAGGCGUAGGCGAUGGACAACGGGUUGAUAUUCCCGUACCGGUCUGAUUUGUUUGAGCAAUGGAGGGACGCAGGAGGCUAACGAUGCGCACUAUCGGAUGUGCGUCCAAGCAGCAAGUCUGUCGGCGAGUCAAAUGCUUGCCGGCUCAAGGACAAGCUGUGACGGGUAUGAACGAUUUAUCGUUCUAAGUGAGUGACGUCACACUGCCAAGAAAAGCUUCUAGUUAGAAUCAGACCGCCCGCACCGCAAACCGACACAGGUAGUCGGGUCGAGAAGACCAAGGUGAGCGAGAGAACUCUCGUUAAGGAACUCGGCAAAAUGACCCCGUAACUUCGGGAGAAGGGGUGCUGAUCGCAAGAUCAGCCGCAGUGAAUAGGCCCAGGCGACUGUUUAUCAAAAACACAGGUUUCUGCAAAAUCGUAAGAUGAAGUAUAGGGGCUGACGCCUGCCCGGUGCUGGAAGGUUAAGAGGAUGGGUUAGCGCAAGCGAAGCUCAGAAUUGAAGCCCCAGUAAACGGCGGCCGUAACAAUAACGGUCCUAAGGUAGCGAAAUUCCUUGUCGGGUAAGUUCCGACCCGCACGAAAGGCGUAACGAUCUGGGCACUGUCUCAACGAGAGACUCGGUGAAAUUAUAAUACCCGUGAAGAUGCGGGUUACCCGCGACAGGACGGAAAGACCCCAUGGAGCUUUACUGUAGCUUGAUAUUGGGUGUUUGUACAACUUGUACAGGAUAGGUAGGAGCCGUAGAAGUCGGGACGCUAGUUUCGACGGAGGCAUCGGUGGGAUACUACCCUCGUUGUAUGAACACUCUAACCCACGCCGGCAAUCACGGCGGGAGACAGUGUCAGGUGGGCAGUUUGACUGGGGCGGUCGCCUCCUAAAAGGUAACGGAGGCGCCCAAAGGUUCCCUCAGAAUGGUUGGAAAUCAUUCGCAGAGUGUAAAGGCAUAAGGGAGCUUGACUGCGAGACCUACAAGUCGAGCAGGGACGAAAGUCGGGCUUAGUGAUCCGGUGGUUCCGCAUGGAAGGGCCAUCGCUCAACGGAUAAAAGCUACCCUGGGGAUAACAGGCUUAUCUCCCCCAAGAGUCCACAUCGACGGGGAGGUUUGGCACCUCGAUGUCGGCUCAUCGCAUCCUGGGGCUGUAGUCGGUCCCAAGGGUUGGGCUGUUCGCCCAUUAAAGCGGUACGCGAGCUGGGUUCAGAACGUCGUGAGACAGUUCGGUCCCUAUCCGUCGCGGGCGCAGGAAAUUUGAGAGGAUCUGUCCUUAGUACGAGAGGACCGGGAUGGACAUACCGCUGGUGUACCAGUUGUUCUGCCAAGGGCAUCGCUGGGUAGCUAUGUAUGGAUGAGAUAAACGCUGAAAGCAUCUAAGUGCGAAACUCACCUCGAGAUAAGAUUUCCCACUCCUUUAUGGAGUUAAGACCCCUGAGAGAUGAUCAGGUAGAUAGGAUGGAAGUGGAAGUGCGGCGACGCAUGGAGCGGACCAUUACUAAUCGGUCGAGGACUUAACCU
rnacentral:rRNA from 1 species